rnacentral:lncRNA from 1 species
CCCCUGGACCGGAGGCUGCCAUCUCCAGUCCUACCCACUCCGACGCUGGCUGGUGCCGGGGGCCGGGACGCUCCGUACGCCGCCCGCCAGGGUGUGGAGCCGCACUGGGGCAAGAUCAGUUAUCUUCAGUCCUUCUUCAAUGCUGUGACUGAGUGCUUGCUGAUUAUUGUGCUUGCUGAUCCUGACUAAUACUCUCUCUUGAUGAGCUUCAUAUUCAUCACGACUUGGAUAAAUUUUGCUGAUGAGUGCAUCAAACUUUGGGUCUGGCCUUGGUGAUCUUUUGGAAACUAGUUUUUUCCAACAGUUGGUUGGAUCUAGGAUGUAAACUGCAAGUGUGGCAGGCCGACUGCACUGUUUUGUUACUAGAGGGAGUGAGAACACACCUGUGGACUUGAGCACCUUCCAUUCACCAGUUGCUCCAUGGGCAUACUCUAAUUCAGGUCUCCCCACAACCCUCUGAGUUAAUAUUUCUCUCCCCAUUUUAAAGAUGAGAAAAUAAAGCCUAGACAGUUUAACUUGGCUUCUGUUUUGAAACUAGCUGAGAGAUGAAUUAGGCUUUGAUCCAUGUCUAUCAGCUUCAACCUUCAUGCUUUUUCUUCUGUACCCCAGUGCCUGUUAAAUUUUGGAAAUCCCAGAAACAGCCCACAAACUUGGGUUAAUCUUAGAGAUUUUGACAAUGUCCUUUGAGAACCAGUGCACUACAGAAACACAAAACCCUUUGCAUAUUGUCAUUGAAUAAAUUGUACCAUUGAGACC